rnacentral:rRNA from 1 species
CCGCCGUAAACCCGAGGUUUCCAGGGCAACGUGUUUCGUCCCUGGGUUAGCCGGGACCUAAGCCGAGGCCGAGAGGCGUAGGCGAUGGACAUCAGGUUAAUAAUCCUGAGCUCGCAACCCUUAAACUGGGGGGACGCAUGAGAAAAGAUGACUAGGUUAUUGAAUUCCGAGUUGAGUCCACGGACUCAGCGCAUCAUUGGAUCGAGUGCCAAGAAAAGCCCCAGCGUAUGCUAAGCGACCCGUACCGCAAACCGACACAGGUGGGUGGGUAGAAUAUACCAAGGCGUAAGAGUGAAACCUGGUUAAGGAACUCGGCAAAUUAACCCCGUAACUUCGGAAGAAGGGGUCCCUGCAGCGAUGCAGGCCGCAGAGAAAUGGCCCAACCGACUGUUUAUCAAAAACACAGCACUCUGCAAAGACGCAAGUCGAAGUAUAGGGUGUGACACGUGACCAAUGCCGAAAGAUUAAGGCAAGGGGUUAGCCGCAAGGCGAAGCUCUAAACCCAAGUCCCGGUGAAUGUCGGCCGUAACUAUAACGGUCCUAAGGUAGCGAAAUUCCUUGUCGGGUAAGUUCCGACCUGCACGAAUCGUGAAACGAGUUGGGCACUGUCUCAACCAGGCGCUCAGUGAAAUUGUAGUGGCGGUGAAGAUGCCGCCUACCCGCAGAAGGACGGAAAGACCCUAUAGACCUUAACUGUAAGCUGUCAUUGUUUCUUCGGUUUUAAUGCUCAGAGUAAGUGGGAGACGCUGAAGACGCCCUUUAGGGGGCGUCCGAGUCAUCAAUGAGACACCACCCUUUGAAACUGGAGGAUCUAACCCUGAGCCGUGAAUCCGGCCAGAGGACCGUGUCAGCCGGUCAGUUUUACUGGGGCGGUAUCCUCCCAAAGAGUAACGGAGGAGCGCGAAGGUGGGCUCAGCCCGGUUGGCAACCGGGUGUCGAGUGCAUGGGCAUAAGCCCGCCUAACUGUGAGACCAACAAGUCGAGCAGAUGCGAAAGCAGGCCCAAGUGAUCCGGCGGUAGAAAGUGGAAUUGCCGUCGCUCAACGGAUAAAAGGUACCUUAGGGAUAACAGGCUGAUCACGCCCAAGAGUUCAUAUCGACGGCGUGGUUUGGCACCUCGAUGUCGGCUCGUCGCAUCCUGGGGCUGGAGAAGGUCCCAAGGGUCCGGCUGUUCGCCGGUUAAAGCGGCACGCGAGCUGGGUUCAGAACGUCGCGAGACAGUUCGGUCCUCUAUCCUCUGUGGGCGUUGGAAAAUUGAGGGGUUCAGACCUUAGUACGAGAGGACCGGGUCUGACGCACCACUGGUGCAUCGGUUGUACUGUCAAGUGCAUGGCCGAGUAGCUAAGUGCGGACGGGAUAAGCGCUGAAAGCAUCUAAGCGCCAAGCCCUUCCCAAGAUGAGUUUUCCCUACAGGUUCGUGGAAGACCACCACGUUGAUAGGUCGCAGGUGUAAGUGCAGCAAUGUAUUGAGCCGAGCGAUACUAAUUACCAAUUGACUUCAUC